rnacentral:rRNA from 1 species
CAGUCGCCGCGGGAAUACGAAGGGGGCUAGCGUUGCUCGGAAUUACUGGGCGUAAAGGGCGCGUAGGCGGACAGUUCAGUCGGGGGUGAAAGCCCGGGGCUCAACCUCGGAAUUGCCUUCGAUACUGGCUGUCUUGAGUAUGAGAGAGGUGUGUGGAACUCCGAGUGUAGAGGUGAAAUUCGUAGAUAUUCGGAAGAACACCAGUGGCGAAGGCGACACACUGGCUCAUUACUGACGCUGAGGCGCGAAAGCGUGGGGAGCAAACAGGAUUAGAUACCCGCGUAGUCCCUGUCUCUUAUAC